AGGGUCAGUUUGUCAGGUUAAAAAGUGUUUAUCCGAACCAAUUGUGAGAAGGACUCCCCUUUUUCCACAUCAUAACGAACCACCAUCCGAUUCUCCGGCGACCCCUUUUCCGGCCAUGUCAGCCACCACCGAAACAUCCGUCACAACCCACCCAGAUGUCACUGUAACUCCGGUGACAAGUGAGUCAAUUUGGCAAGAAAUUGACCUCUCUGAAAGCUAUCUUGUUUCUUCUAUGUUUGAAGAAGCAUCAUCAACCGCUUCACGUGUUCUGAAACGUUUACGUGAUGAACAAGGAAUUAUACCAGAUAUUGAACUCAAUGACAUGUUGGAGUCGGCUGGGAUGGUGUUUGUGCAGUCCUUAAAGGAACUUGGGAGAACAUCAGUGAUAAUGACAGAGUUGACACAGCUUUAUGGUUCACUCACUUCCAUUCCAGUCCAAGUUUUUCUUGCCGGGGCUUGUUUUCAGAUACUAGAAAACCCCGGUGGUGCUCAAAAGAUUCUUGAGGAAUUUUUGAGCCAGUGGAGCUUUGUUGACGAGCAACAUUAUGCUCUUGCAAGUCUAGAAGCAAAUACAUCUUACACAAAAGAUUCUAGUAGUAGAUUCUUUCUAGACAUUGAUGCAUACCUUCAAGUUGUUGAGGCUUAUAUAACACUUCUUAUGGGGAUUUUAAGAGGUACUGAUCUGGCCAUCUCAUGGGUUGAGAAAGCUGCAUUGCCUGAGGACAAACGGCAGGAAUUUUUACGGCGUUUACACUCCAUGUACUCUUCCAAGGAUACGGGAUCUCAAGCAUCAUCUUCACUAACAGAUGAGAAUAGUUCUGGGAAACAAGCUGGGAAACAACGUGAUGAGAAUGAUGCAGCAAAACAAGCUAUUUUGAGAUAUUCUGCGCAACAUGUUUCUACAUUUUGGUUGUUCCGAAAUGUUAAUUUAAAGUUUGGCAGUGUUCGAUUUGCGGUUUCAAAUGGAAGUAUCUUGUUGACAAUGUCAGUGCUUCUCAUUUAUUAUUUUUUGCGGAGGAAGAAGUAUACAAUAACAGGAAUUCUCAAUGCCAAGGCUUUGUUUGUGAAGAAAACCAUCAUAGACUUGUGGCAGCUUGCAUUCUCGUAUCAAGUGAAUCCAUUAGCAGCUGUUGAGUCUCUUCCAAAUCCUACUCGCAUAAGCCAUUAACAGCUCCUCUAUCUUAAAGUUAGCCUGCUUCAGUUGGUUAAGGUUAGUCUAGCCGAGAACUCAUCUUGUGUUACGUUAUUCAUUUGACUGCAUCUCUUCACAACGAGUAUUUUCUGGCGGCUAAUAGUGGUCUUAUAGCAAGAUCCAAACACCCCACCACCAAGAACCACCGCAGACGCCUUCAACAACUCUGCCAGGUCAAACCUUUCUGCGUCGUCUUUCAAGAAAGUUAGCUUCAGAGAUGAAUCAACUUUCUUGGUGUUGACUGUAGUUGCAGCACUGCCUACACCUUGCUCCAUUUGAUCAUGGUUGGAUGAAACUACGUUUCUAUAGGGUGGUACCUCAAUGGUUUCCUUUGAAGAUGGUCCAAAUUUUUGUAGGAUAAUGAAAGCUGUAGUGAUUGCUGCCAGGGCUGCAACGACCACUAACGCUACCAUGACGAUGGUAGCAGUAGGGAUCUUUGUCUUGCACUCCGCGAAUGGUGGUCCACAAAGCUCGCCGUUACCUGUUGUCCAAAGUAAAGGUGUAAAGAAUUGUGAAGUGAUAAACCAUAUACUUAUCAUGGAUUAUCAACUAAUGCAGCUUUUUGUAUUGUGUCUAGAUGUACAACUGUAUACUAUUGACUUGGCACCCUUCCUGUCCUAGCCAGAAAAAGGGAAAAUUUGAGAUUUCAUUUCUUUACUUUCCAACUCGAAAAGUUAAUAUUGCUCUCUUUCUUUU